CCCCUCUCAGGGUCGCAUUUGGAGAGUUUUCAGUACUCUAUCAGUCAUGAGUACAGGAGGGAGAGUCAAGCAGAGGCAUACCCAUUCCAUUCCUAGCUUGGGCAGUGGCUAGCAAGGGGAAGACAAUCUGUUACAGGU